UACAAGAAUAGCAGAUUCUUCAUCGCAACAUUAAGAGCUUUGCUAAAAAUGGGUUAUCAGUGUGCAUUUGGUGUUCUUCAAAGCGGAAACUAUGGAGUUCCUCAAAACAGACAUCGUGCGUUUGUCAUUGGUUCACUACCUGGAUACAAUCUUCCACGGUUCCCAUACCAAAGCAUUCUUUUCCAUCAAGGCUUUCCUUUAAUGUUGAAGGAACCAAGUUUGGAUCGGAUUUCGAAAAUGAAGACAUCGGAAAGUAUCGCGGUUUAACAGUAAGAGACGGAAUUUCUGAUCUUAUGAAGGAUUAUGAAGCUGAGACGGAUUACCAA